rnacentral:tRNA from 1 species
GAGGGCAUAGCUCAGUGGUAGAGCGUGUGCUUAGCAUGCACAAGGUCCUGGGUUCAGUCCCCAGUACCUCCA